AGACAGCAGUCGCCACGGUAAUACGUAGGGCGCAAGCGUUAUCCGGAAUUAUUGGGCGUAAAGAGCUCGUAGGCGGUUUGUCGCGUCUGCCGUGAAAGUCCGGGGCUCAACCCCGGAUCUGCGGUGGGUACGGGCAGACUAGAGUGAUGUAGGGGAGACUGGAAUUCCUGGUGUAGCGGUGAAAUGCGCAGAUAUCAGGAGGAACACCGAUGGCGAAGGCAGGUCUCUGGGCAUUAACUGACGCUGAGGAGCGAAAGCAUGGGGAGCGAACAGGAUUAGAGACCCCCGUAGUCCCUGUCUCUUAUAC
rnacentral:rRNA from 1 species